ACAGCAGCAGCCGCGGUAAUACGAAGGGGGCUAGCGUUGCUCGGAAUUACUGGGCGUAAAGGGUGCGUAGGCGGACAGUUCAGUCGGGGGUGAAAGCCCGGGGCUCAACCUCGGAAUUGCCUUCGAUACUGGCUGUCUUGAGUAUGAGAGAGGUGUGUGGAACUCCGAGUGUAGAGGUGAAAUUCGUAGAUAUUCGGAAGAACACCAGUGGCGAAGGCGACACACUGGCUCAUUACUGACGCUGAGGCGCGAAAGCGUGGGGAGCAAACAGGAUUAGAUACCCCGGUAGUCCCUGUCUCUUAUAC
rnacentral:rRNA from 1 species